AGUCAUAUGCUUGUCUCAAAGAUUAAGCCAUGCAUGUCUAAGUAUAAGCAAUUAUACCGUGAAACUGCGAAUGGCUCAUUAAAUCAGUUAUCGUUUAUUUGAUAAUACCUUACUACUUGGAUAACCGUGGUAAUUCUAGAGCUAAUACAUGCUGAAAAUCCCGACUUCGGAAGGGAUGUGUUUAUUAGAUAAAAAACCAAUGCCCUUCGGGGCUCUUUGGUGAUUCAUGAUAACUUUACGGAUCGCAUAGCCUUGCGCUGGCGACGGUUCAUUCAAAUUUCUGCCCUAUCAACUUUCGAUGGUAAGGUAUUGGCUUACCAUGGUUUCAACGGGUAACGGGGAAUUAGGGUUCGAUUCCGGAGAGGGAGCCUGAGAAACGGCUACCACAUCCAAGGAAGGCAGCAGGCGCGCAAAUUACCCAAUCCCGACACGGGGAGGUAGUGACAAUAAAUACUGAUACAGGGCUCUUUUGGGUCUUGUAAUUGGAAUGAGUACAAUUUAAACCUCUUAACGAGGAACAAUUGGAGGGCAAGUCUGGUGGACAUUCAGCUCCCAUUCUGCUGACGCCAGAGAUAGUCAGGCAAUUCGAGAGAAUUGUUAUGCUGGCUAGUCGAUGUACCUACUGUUAUGAUGGGCAGGUACCGGCGAGACAACCUGGAUCGGGGAAGGCUAAGGUGCUCACGCGCUAUGCUAAUCCCGAGCAGAGCUGCCAUAGGGAGACCUUUGGUAUAGCCUGUGUAGAGCACGGAAAGGUGUCGGCUAACACACGUAGUUAGCUUAAGGGACGUGCCAUUCCCACUUGAAAGAGUGGCUGUCAACAAUAGCGCCCAUCACGCGAAGGUUGGCAGGUUUGAACAUGCUCCAUGUUCAAGCGUUCAUCAAGGCCAGCAGCCGCGGUAAUUCCAGCUCCAAUAGCGUAUAUUAAAGUUGUUGCAGUUAAAAAGCUCGUAGUUGAAACUUGGGCCUGGCUGGCGGGUCCGCCUCACCGCGUGCACUCGUCCGGCCGGGCCUUCCUUCUGAAGAACCUCAUGCCCUUCACUGGGCGUGUUGGGGAAUCAGGACUUUUACUUUGAAAAAAUUAGAGUGUUCAAAGCAGGCCUUUGCUCGAAUACGUUAGCAUGGAAUAAUAAAAUAGGGCGUGCGUUUCUAUUUUGUUGGUUUCUAGAGACGCCGCAAUGAUUAACAGGAACAGUCGGGGGCAUCAGUAUUCAGUUGUCAGAGGUGAAAUUCUUGGAUUUACUGAAGACUAACUACUGCGAAAGCAUUUGCCAAGGAUGUUUUCAUUAAUCAGUGAACGAAAGUUAGGGGAUCGAAGACGAUCAGAUACCGUCGUAGUCUUAACCGUAAACUAUGCCGACUAGGGAUCGGGCGAUGUUCUUUUUGUGACUCGCUCGGCACCUUACGAGAAAUCAAAGUUUUUGGGUUCUGGGGGGAUUAUGGUCGCAAGGCUGAAACUUAAAGAAAUUGACGGAAGGUCACCACCAGGCGUGGAGCCUGCGGCUUAAUUUGACUCAACACGGGGAAACUCACCAGGUCCAGAUGAAAUAAGGAUUGACAGAUUGAGAGCUCUUUCUUGAUUUUUCAGGUGGUGGUGCAUGGCCGUUCUUAGUUCGUGGGGUGACUUGUCUGCUUAAUUGCGAUAACGAGCGAGACCUUACUCUGCUAAAUAGCCAGGCUAGCUUUGGCUGGUCGCCGGCUUCUUAGAGAGACUAUCAACUCAAGUUGAUGGAAGUUUGAGGCAAUAACAGGUUAACCUACACAGGCCUGUAACAGUGGGCCUCAUUAAAGAUAACUGCUAGUCUAGCGUCUUGACCUUCUUUGGGGAAGUCCCCUACUGUCGGGAGAAGGCAAGCCCCUCUUGGGGGGGGGGGGGGG
rnacentral:rRNA from 1 species